rnacentral:rRNA from 1 species
AUUGAACGCUGGCGGCAGGCCUAACACAUGCAAGUCGAGCGGAUGACGGGAGCUUGCUCCUUGAUUCAGCGGCGGACGGGUGAGUAAUGCCUAGGAAUCUGCCUGGUAGUGGGGGACAACGUUUCGAAAGGAACGCUAAUACCGCAUACGUCCUACGGGAGAAAGCAGGGGACCUUCGGGCCUUGCGCUAUCAGAUGCGCCUAGGUCGGAUUAGCUAGUAGGUGAGGUAAUGGCUCACCUAGGCGACGAUCCGUAACUGGUCUGAGAGGAUGAUCAGUCACACUGGAACUGAGACACGGUCCAGGCUCCUACGGGAGGCAGCAGUGGGGAAUAUUGGACAAUGGGCGAAAGCCUGAUCCAGCCAUGCCGCGUGUGUGAAGAAGGUCUUCGGAUUGUAAAGCACUUUAAGUUGGGAGGAAGGGCAGUAAGUUAAUACCUUGCUGUUUUGACGUUACCGACAGAAUAAGCACCGGCUAACUCUGUGCCAGCCGCCGCGGUAACAC